rnacentral:rRNA from 1 species
CAGGGAAUCUUCCACAAUGGACGCAAGUCUGAUGGAGCAACGCCGCGUGAGUGAAGAAGGUCUUCGGCUCGUAAAGCUCUGUUGUUAAAGAAGAACACGUAUGAGAGUAACUGUUCAUACGUUGACGGUAUUUAACCAGAAAGUCACGGCUAACUACGUGCCAG